rnacentral:rRNA from 1 species
AUGCGUCCCCUCCUCGCCCUCGCCGUGUGCGCCCUCCUCGCGGCGGGCGCGGCCGCCGCGGGGGAGGAUGCUGCGAACAGGACCAACAAGUUCCGCCAGCGCGAGGCCAGCGAUGACAUGCUCGGCUACCCCCACCUUGAUGAAGAUGCAUUGUUGAGUACCAAGUGUCCAAAACACGUGGAGCUGAGAUGGCAGACCGAAGUUAGUUCCAGCAUUUAUGCAAGUCCGCUGAUUGCUGAUAUCAACAGUGAUGGAAAGUUGGAAGUAGUGGUGCCAUCGUUUGUCCAUUACUUAGAAGUGCUUGAAGGUUCCGAUGGAGACAAACUACCAGGAUGGCCUGCGUUUCACCAGUCAAAUGUUCAUUCAAGUCCUCUUCUCUAUGACAUUGACAAGGAUGGCACACGGGAAAUAGUGUUGGCUACUUACAACGGUGUAGUGAAUUUCUUCAGGAUAUCAGGUUAUCUGAUGAUGGACAAGCUAGAGGUACCUCGUAGGAAAGUUCGUAAAGAUUGGCACGUUGGGCUAAAUCCUGAUCCAGUAGACCGUUCCCACCCGGAUGUUGAUGACAGUUCAAUUGCGAAACAAGCUACUUCUGAGGAAUCUCACCCAAACAUUCAGGACAAAUCGGUUGGAGAUGAAUCUUCAAAGGAACCUCAGUCACGAAGUACAACCAACACACCACAGGGAGCUGAUCCCUUGAAACAUCCAUCUGAGCUACAGUCAGCCGAAACAAAACCUAAUCCUACCGCUGAAAAGGAGAAUCCAGAGUUGCCAAAACAUCCGAAAACCACGACAGAGAGUGCAUCACAUGCUCAGAGAAGGUUGCUUCAAACAGCAGAUAAAAGUGAUGAUCAAACGGGAAGUGCAGAAACUCAUGGAAGUGAUGCAGGAACAACAGGAGAAUCAACUGUUGAAAAUGACGAGCCUUUAGAGGAGGAAGCUAAUGCAUCAUUUGAUUUGUUUCGGGAUGCAGAAGAUCUCCCUGAAGAGUACAGUUAUGAUUAUGAUGAUUAUGUUAAUGAUACCUGGUGGGGAGACGAGGAUUGGAAAGAACAAGAGCAUGAGAAAGAGGAAGAUUAUGUGAGCAUAGAUGCUCACAUAUUGUCGACCCCAGUAAUUGCAGAUAUUGACAAUGACGGUGUACAAGAAAUGGUUAUUGCUGUAUCUUACUUCUUUGACCGCGAGUAUUAUGAUAAUGCAGAGCAUUUAAAAGAGCUAGGAGGGAUUGACAUAGGAAAAUAUAUUGCAAGCAGUAUAGUUGUUUUUAACCUUGACACAAAACAAGUUAAAUGGACAGCAGAACUCGAUUUGAGUACCGAAAGCGGGAAAUUCCUUGCCCAUGCAUAUUCGUCUCCAACUGUGGUUGAUUUGGAUGGUGAUGGAAAUUUGGAUAUCCUUGUCGGAACUUCCUAUGGCUUGUUUUAUGUUCUUGAUCAUCACGGUAAGACUAGGAAAAAUUUCCCCCUUGAGAUGGCUGAGAUCCAUGCACCAGUCAUUGCAGCAGACAUCAAUGAUGAUGGUAAGAUCGAGAUGGUCACUGCUGAUGUGCAUGGUAAUGUAGCAGCUUGGACUGCAGAGGGAGACGAAAUCUGGGAGGUGCAUCUGAAGAGCCUUGUUCCACAGCGACCUACUGUCGGGGACGUCAAUGGAGAUGGCCACACUGAUGUUGUGGUCCCAACUGUAUCAGGAAACAUCUACGUUCUUAGUGGAAAGGAUGGCUCAAAAGUUCAGCCUUUCCCAUAUAGAACACAUGGAAGGAUCAUGAGUCCGGUCUUGUUAGUUGACAUGAGCAAACGUGGAGAAAAGACGCAAGGACUAACCCUUGCUACUACGUCCUUUGAUGGUUAUUUGUAUUUGAUCGAGGGCUCUAGUGGCUGUGCAGAUGUUGUCGACAUUGGAGAGACCUCGUACACUAUGGUUUUGGCUGACAAUGUGGAUGGCGGAGAUGACCUUGAUCUGAUUGUUACUACCAUGAAUGGCAAUGUCUUUUGCUUUUCCACUCCCUCACCGCACCAUCCUCUCAAGGAAUGGAGAUCAUCAAACCAAGGAAGGAAUAAUGCUGCAUAUAGGCACAACCGUCAAGGUAUUUAUGUUAAGCAUGGUUCCAGGACAUUCCGUGAUGAAGAGGGUAAACAUUUCUGGGUCGAAUUUGAGAUUGUAGACAAGUACAGGGUUCCCUAUGGGAAUCAAGCUCCUUACAAUGUCACGGUAACUCUACUCGUCCCUGGGAAUUACCAGGGAGACAGGCGUAUUGUGGUUAGUCAAGUCUACAAUGAACCAGGACACAAGCAGAUGCAGCUUCCUACCGUGCCCGUCAGAACCACAGGAACAGUGCUCGUGGAGAUGGUCGACAAACACGGGCUCCACUUUGCCGACGAGUACUCGCUCACCUUCCACGUGCACUACUUCAAGCUGCUGAAAUGGCUCGUGGUUCUGCCGAUGCUCGGGAUGUUCCUUGUCCUCGUCAUCCUACGACCCCAAGAAGGCGCACCGUUGCCGUCGUUUUCGCGGAACAACAUCGAUUAG